ACGGGAGGCAGCAGUGAGGAAUAUUGGUCAAUGGGCGAGAGCCUGAACCAGCCAAGUAGCGUGAAGGAUGACGGCCCUACGGGUUGUAAACUUCUUUUGCCGGGGGAUAAAAAACGGGACGCGCCCCGUCUUGCAGGUACCCGUGCGAAUAAGGACCGGCUAAUUCCGUGCCAGCAGCCGCGGUAAUACGGAAGGUCCGGGCGUUAUCCGGAUUUAUUGGGUUUAAAGGGAGCGUAGGCGGGCUUUUAAGUCAGCUGUGAAAUCCUGCGGCUCAACCGUGGAAUUGCAGUUGAUACUGGGAGUCUUGAGUGCACGCAGGGAUGCCGGAAUUCGUUGUGUAGCGGUGAAAUGCUUAGAUAUGACGAAGAACUCCGAUCGCGAAGGCAAGUGUCCGGAGUGCGACUGACGCUGAGGCUCGAAAGUGCGGGUAUCAAACAGGAUUAGAUACCCUGGUA
rnacentral:rRNA from 1 species